GGAAGAGAGAGUGAUCUGGCCACAGUAUCUGUCACUCCACUGAUCGCCAGGGUUGAUCCGGCUGAUCUGGCUGGCCAGGUGGUAUCCCCUUCCUCACUCACUGCUCCCUGUGCGACCCCCGAAAGCUGUGCCCCAGUGGAAGAGGACGACCUUGCUGAUGAAGGAGUAGCUGUGCUGCUCUGCUAGAACCGCUAAACAAGCUCUCAAAAUAAAAAAUGGGCUGAAGAUGUAGGUUGAUGCAAAG
rnacentral:snRNA from 1 species